rnacentral:misc_RNA from 1 species
GAUGAAGAACGCAGCGAAAUGCGAUAAGUAGUGUGAAUUGCAGAAUUCCGUGAAUCAUCGAAUCUUUGAACGCACAUUGCGCCUUCUGGUAUUCCUGAAGGCAUGCCUGUUCGAGAGUCAUUAACAACCGUUUCGAUCCCUUUCUUUCAGAAAUUACAAAGAGGAAAAGGGUUUGGUUAUGGUGGAGGAGGGAAAGGGAGCGUUUAGCCUGUAAAAAAAGAGGCUGUGUUCCGCCUCCCCCCCAAAAUUGUACAGGCGGUCGUGUGCGCCCACGCAUCGAGGUGUUGUAAAAGCUGCCACGGCACUUUUCACCUGUGCAGUGCGAGAUUGGCCAGCCGGUUUAAAAACCCCUCCAAACAAUCAAAGGUUGACCUCGGAUCAGGUAGGGAUACCCGCUGAACUUAAGCAUAUCAAUAAGCGGAGGA